UGUACGCAUGAACAUGCUCUCACACAAAAUUCUUAUCUCACUUUCAAUUUAACCACUGAAAAAAGGACAAUUCAAUUUACCGAUCUUCUUGAUUGCUGAGAUCCUUCUUCUCCUCAGAUUGAUGGAGAGAUCACAGCAGCUAGAGAAGCUCUUCUUCAAGUGACAUCGAGACUUCACAUUCAUAACCAUGGUGCAAAUAAACCCAACAUGAUAGCUGAUAUAUGUUGCGGUAACAACCUAAGGACAUCCUCCGGCAAAGGAAAGAAUAUAAUUAACCACUUCUCUGUAUUUGAAAUUGGUUCAACAUCAACUAUCUUCAAUGAAUAGCUUGUUGUUCGCUUACCCAGAUAAACAACUCCAACAAUAUAAAGAUGUCUUCUAUCACCACAAAAGGUUCAACCUCAAGUGCCUCCACUAGACGGCAUAAUUCAGCAACAUCAAAUGUCACCAAAAAAGGUAGAUUAUUUCAACAAUACUCGGUUGAUCAAUUCAUAAAAGUCGAAAUUCAAAGGUUAGAUUUUGCAUCCUUUAAUCAAGAUUUAUUUAGAAUUGAUAUGCUACAAGGACUUAUCGAGAUUCUAAGACUUGGUGAAAGAGAAGCUUCUAAGAUAGGAAAAAAAAGAUAUCUCCCUGCAAGUUUUAUAGGCGGUCCGAGAGAUAUGCGUCGUCGUUAUUAUGGAUGCUAUCGCAUUAGUUCAAUAUUUUGAAAAACCUGAUAUAUUCCUUAAUAUGACGUGUAAUCCCUCUUGGCCAGAAAUAAAAGAACAUUUAUUGUCAACAGAUGAAGUUCAAAAUAAACCUGAUUUAAUUAGCCGCGUGUUCAAAGCAAACGUUGAAGAAAUAAAGACCGAUAUACUAAAACAAAAUAUUUUUGGAAAAGUUACAGCUUUUAUUUACAUUAUAGACUUUCUAAUUCUGGGUCUUCCCCAUGCACAUUUUCUUAUUAUACUUGCUGAUGCUUAUAAAUUACUAACACCUGAAGCCUAUGCCAAAUUUGUUUGUGCAGAGCUUCCUGAUGCUAAUGUAUAUCCUUACUUAUAUAUGCUUGUUAUCAAACAUAUGAUGCAUGACCCUUGUGGUCAUUUGAAUCCUAUAAAUUCAUGUAUGAAAAAAAGGAAAGUGUAAAUUUAAGUACUCGAAAAGCUUUGCUAAUGAAACGACAAAAGAAAAUAAUUCAUCCCCAAUUUAUAGAAGACAAAUAGAAUGUUUGGGAUUGCUUUAUUUUCCAAAAUAAGCACUUAUUUUAAAAAAAAAUACUUUUUUUUUUUAAAAAAAGAAGGGUGUUUGGUAAACUUGCAAAAGUACUUUUAAAAAUAAGUAGAAGCAGUUUUUCUUGCUUCUGGGAAGAAGCAGAAAAUUUUUGCUUCUAAAAAAAAUCAGAAGCAGAAACAGAAAAUUA